AGUAACUGCCUGGGUUCUGAAGCCAUCUGCUGAGUCCUUUUGCACAUUUGAGAGAUGGCAGUUCAGAGGUUUUUUUCUCAUUCUUCAUCCUUUACAUGAUGUAUAUAGUGUUUUAGACCAGUGCUUCUCAAACUAACAUGCAUAUGAAUCACCUGGGCAUCUUGUUACGAUGCAGAUUCUGAUUCAGCAGGUCUGGGGUGGGGCCCAAGAGUCUGCAUUUCUGACAGAGUCCUAGGUGAUGCCCAUGUUGCCAGUCCCUGUACCCUCAUUGAGUAGGAAGAAGCUAGAGCUCAUAAGGUCCAUUCAUCUGUGCUAUAUCAUUACACCCUGGAAACUACCUUGUAGGUAUUAUUAUAAUGCUCACUUUUCAAACGGGAAACAGAUGUAAAGUGAAGCAGUUGGCUCAAAGGUUCACAGCAAGUUAAUGUUAGGACUGGUACUAGUAUUAGCUCCUUUCUUUCAGUGCAACCACCAAGGACUUGUUGGAUGCCAGGCACUGUGCUAGGUGCUGUGGGUAUUCAGCUGACCAAGGAAGAAGGCACAUUCUCCCCCAAACAAGGCUUCCCUGUCCCAUGGUGUAGGAUUUCUCUGCAACCCUGUGUAGCAACACCACUGCCAGGAUCCUGGAGUGGCAUGUGGCUGACUCAGAGAUGAGUGCCCUGCCAUUAUCAGCUCCUGGUACUGGAGGCCCCAGCCUGCUAUAAGCCUUGGCCCUGCUCUGGCCAUACUGAGAAAAAUUCUCUCAGUAAUCUGAGAUGGCUGCCAUGGUGGCUGCCUCCCUGUUCCAGGCCUUCUGCUCUGAAUGGGCUGAAAGGGAUGCAACUGAAAAUAGGUCAGAGCUGUAUUUCCAGAGGAGAAAGUUAUGGAGGGUGCUAACCACUCUCCAU
rnacentral:lncRNA from 10 species